CCGGGCCGGCGCUGGGGCUGCGCAGCUCCCCGGGCUCCCAGCCGGGGUCUGAGGCGGGCGGGUGGCUCAGGGCCGGGGGGAAGCGGCGGGAGGCGCUGCCGGGGCGCGGACCUUCGCCCGGCCUUCCUGGCACGGAGCCGCGGGUGCGCGCAGGAAGGGUUCCGCCGGCCGGGAGGCCAGGCCAUAACCUCGGUUUUUCCCUUGUCUUAACCAAGGAGGUUGAGGAGCAGCAGGAGGGGCGGCGUCUGCCCUGUUUGUAGUAGCACUGAGGUAACACCGGGACGCUUCGGCACAAGCGGAUGAGAGUGGAUGGUGCUCUGCGGCACUGCAGGGCAGCACCAAGUGCUAGCCAGACCAGGGAACCGGUACGCAGGCAGCUUCAAGAGAUAAUGGGAUAUGUCACAACAACGUUAAAAUGAGACUAAGCAUCAACCCUUGAAGUGGCACUGUACUUGGAAGUGCUACUGUGAGGAAGCCAAAGUACUGAAAGCAAUCAGUGCUUGACUGCACGAGACCAUGCCUCUCACAGAAGGCAAAUGAUGCCUUACUUCAAAAGCUUUAUGAAAUGCAAACUCAGUUAUGUCCUUUUGAGUUUCUUUUUUUGCAGGGCAACACUAAACGAUCAAUGGACUUUUCUUAGAACUGUUAUUUGAUUGGGGAGAGGGGAAAAGCUAAGGGGAGAGGGAAAGCUAAUUGGGGAGAGGGAAGGUUAAUUGGGGAGGGAAAGCUAAGGUUCCUACUAAUGUAUGUUCAAGAUGUCUUGCUCUCCCUUGAGACUAAGAUUUGGUCUUUGAUCUACUAUGAAGACUACAGAGGUCAACUUAAAGUGGUGGAUGGGGCAAAAACUUUUUUUGCAGCUAGAAAUAGGUAGCCUCUGAAAACAUGAAGUUGUCAAUAUAAAGGAAUGUAACAGCAAAGUAAGCCAAAAAUUCCUAGCUGUCACUAAGAACCCCCAACUGUUUACAAAGGCAAGCAGUGAACUGGUUUAAAUUAAAUUAAGUAAUACUGCUGCAGGCAUCCAGUGCUUGUUACUAUCUUCAGCUGUCUACUGCUGAAGACAUGCUUCAGGCUGUUAAACUUGUGUGGUUUAAUGAUUUAAAUAACAUAUUGAAUAUUUUGCUUUAUAUUGUAUGUGUCUAAAGAUACAUCAAGAUAAAUAGCUAGCAACUUGUACUGGUUUUAUUCAACAGUGCUUUACAGUUGCCUGUAUGUUCCAGGAGGAUGCCGAGACUAUGAAGUUUCCAGUACUUAGACAAGUAUCAGAACUUUAACUUGACUAAAUUGGGAUUAAGUUUUUCCUCAUUUUAGAAGGGCACUCCUAUCACGCAUAUGCAGAAGAUAGUAGCAAGAAGCACAGUGCUUAAAUCGACAGUGAUUUAUUGUGUUUAGGAACAUUCAAUAAAUACCAAGCUCUUAGCAUCAGUUUGGCAAUCCUUCCCCAUCAAAAAUCUGUUGGUUGGUUUAUUCUUCUGGCAUAAACUCCAUUGCCAGCAAUGGAUGUAUCAGAACAAGAAGUUAAUAGAUACUACACAUGCCCACACAGCAGUUUUCUAAACAUACCUCUUUUAAAGGCAUGAGACAGAUUUACUGAACAAAUCUCAAGGAAGUUCUUCAUAGAAGAAAAUGUGGCUACAAGCAGUCUCUUGAACAUCGUUUUCUUCACUAAUGCUACCUGGUAGUUUAUUUCUGGAGUAUAGUAUUUAUUUUUGAACAGUAUUGAUGACUGUUUACAAACAAGGUUUUUUUUCCCCCCUUUAGCUGCGACAUGUAACUAGUACUGAACUGUAUGAGUUUAAGAGUGGUGUACCACUUGCUGAGCAUUUCAUGGCAAUCAUGAAUAAACUCAGAAUAGAGGAAAGGGGAAGGGGCAAUAUGAUACUCUGUUAGUAGGGCCCUGGGGGAUUUUCUUUCUCUUUUUUUUUCUUUUUAACCACUGUUCAAAUGUUAAAGGUAUAUAAUAUUUUAAUUUGUUUUGACUUUCCAUGAAGAAUUGUGUUAAAAAAACACAACUGAGGAAACAUUCUGCUCAUGAUGGUAAUCACUUUCAAGUACUUAAUUUGAAUAUGCCCCUAAAUUCCAUUCAUGUUUUAUUAAAAAUGUUUUUAUAAAAGCAUGAAAACUACAGAAAACCAAUUAACAUGAUAGAGUUAGUCUUGUAUAUUUUUUCCCACAACUGUAUUUUACAUAUUGCCAAACUUCUGCUUUAGCAAAAGAAACAAAGAAUAAAAAUAAAUUCUCUCCCAACUAUUUACACACAGGAAUUACCCUGCUGUGGGACUUUACUCUACAGUCCCUCUAACCCAAGGUAUAAUCUUAGGUGUAUCUUUUUGUGAUUUUGGUUCUUGGAAGUUUUCAGCAAACCUUUCUCUUGCUUUAUCCCAGUUCUUUUUAUUCUUGCUCUGGAUGAUCUGAACAUCUUCAGUUGAGGCUGGUCUGCUGGUACCCAAACCCGCAUGUGUCUUAUGUAACUGAAGGUGGAUCUGUCAAAUACAUUAAAAAUGUAAAAACCAGAAAGACCUACCGGAUCCUUCAUACCGCCACCAUCCUUGCCCAGGCCUUCCCCCUUCUUCCAUCCCAUCUUCUCCAACAUUUUAUGUCCUUUAUUGCUGUUGCUGAUUUCACUUUGAAGAAAGUUUAAGAUAACUGAUAAGCAAGAGUUAAUACAAAGAGUAUGCUCUCUACUCAAGUACGGAAAGACAGAAAUGUGCAUGCUCUAGAAACCAGGACUCGACUAUGAUGCUGUUCCCACUUCCACAAAGAGCUAUGCAGAAUACCCUAGUGCUACCUUUUUCAAGUUCUUUCAUGAAUAUUAUCUUAUUCCAAGCCUCUGGUCAAUACCAACUUAAAAGUCCUUCUGAACUAGUUGAUUACUUCUGGAAUUAACUUCUAGGUGGGAAUUGACUGCACUAGGUAAAAGACAGUAUCGCUGCCUCACCACCAAAUCAUCCUAACACACAUUUCAUUGCUUCAUACUUCCUUUUACUAACCUACAAGUUCUUGUUUUUAAAAACAACACCACUACAACUACAGAAACAAAGGAAUGAUCAAAGAGGAAGACUAAAACAAGUGUUGUUAUGUCCUAUGAUAGGCUGGAUAUUGACAGCGAAAGAAACUGCAGGUGAAAAAUCUGCAUGUGUACCAUUACUGGUACUAGAUAAGAAAAACAGAAACUGAGGCACUUGAAAAAUAGACAAUAUUGAAGGUGUCAGUAGUGCAGCUGGGGAGUUCCUUGCUGUUUUGAGUUGGUAAGGAAGUGAUCUAACCACCCUUACUGCCAAAUUGAAUUCUGUACGGAAACGUGAGAAAGAGUAUAUGAACUACUAAGUGAGAAUAGUUUAUCAUUUUCUAGAUCUCCUAACACAUUAGGGUAAUUAGGUAAUUAAUACUUAAACUGUAUCCUGGUAACAAAUUAGUACUUCAUCAUCAUUUUUUAAGAUUCACUGAAGACACGGAGGAUUCCUCCCUUCCCCUCACACCAGUCUCCCCAUCCCCCCACCAAACUUACAUAUGAACAGAAGCUGGACUAUCAUCUCUCUGGAAGGUUCCUUCACUUCCAAUGGUCUCUCUGCGUUUUCCUGCUCUAUCUUUGUACUUUGGAUUCUUCACUGCUUUAUUGUCUUCAUACUCUGUGUUCUUUAUAAGCAGGUUAAAUUCCAUCAAGAGAAAUAAAGCGGACUUUACAUUCUUUAUUUUUGAUAACUUCACGCUUCCGCCAAAAGUAAGGCAUUUUCAGUCUAUUUCAUUAAUUCUACAUCUUAUAACAAAAAACCAUACUUCUCAUUUAGUGGGUUCUUACCUUACAGCCAUACUUUGUAAGGUAUGUGUGUGAUGUUAUUGCCAUCAUCACAUAAUAAUUUUGCCAAAUUCAUUAAUUUCACAAAGGCUGUAAAUAAAUUAACAGGUUCUCCUGAAUCUUCACUUCGUAUGAAGAACCAAUCUCUCCAUAUUAAGCAGAAAACUAUACAGACAUACUUUCUGUUUAAACAUUCACCUGUUUCUCGCAAUUAUUUCUUCAGAAUAGGUGACAGAACUAAGCAUGUGUAUAGAGGCCAUAUUGGUAUAAUUUUGCUACCUCAAGAAUUUGAGAGAAAUGAUGGCAUUCUAAUUUCUACACAAAUACUUAAGACAACUGCUAGAUGUAACCCCAUAAAAAUAAUCUCCAAAACAGAAGUAACUUGAAUACUUACAUACUAUACUGCCUGUACAUUCAUGUUGGCAUUCUUCUAUAGCAAAGCAGACUUAACAUAAAAACUUAGAAAAUUUCCCUCUUCCUUCUGUCAUUUUUUCAGUUGCUCAUUAUUUUUUCCUUUCCAAAUAAAGGACAGCACUGCAAUUUAGUGCAAACUUAACUGGCAGAAAUACAAGUUGAAAUGACUUAAAAAAAAAAUCUUAACCUCAAAAGGAUGAAGAAUCUUGCACACAAUGGAAUGAAUCUUCUUUUCCUAAACUUUUAACAGAACUUUCAUCACCUGUUACUAUCAUCUCUCUCUGUAGAGGUUUGUAAAUAGUUAUUAUUCAGUGUACAAAAGACAAACUUGAGUUAAACUACUAGGUUCAUCUUAUAACAGAAAACCAUAUUUCUCAUUUAGUGGUUUCUUACUUCACAGCCAUACUUUGUAAGGUAUGUGUAUGAUGUUAUUGCCAUCAUCACCAGGCCCAAGUCUGAAUGAAUUUUAAAGUUUUCCUCAUUCACUGAAGUCUAUGGCUUAACAUAGGAAUCACAAAGUAGAUGUAGACAUCAAACCCUUAAUCAACUUCUAUUGUAAACUCACCUGUAAACCGUAUUUUUCCCGUAUUUUUUUUAAUGCUUUUCUUCUGACUAACUCUCUCUCUUCUUUGCUGAGUGCUGGGCAAACUAAAAGGAAGAACACAGGAUUUAUUUUCUAAUUAAUAAUGUAACAAUGUUUUGAAACCUAAGACAGCUGUAAGAAUUUUUGUUCUAAGACUCCUACACACAGACACACAUACCAGGAAAAAAAUACAUCAUCAUGUAUUGUAGAACUAUUCCCAAGAAAGAAAAAAACUGUAAAAAAAUUGAAGUAAUUAUUUUGCUUAUAAAAUAAAGAGCCACAAUAAAAAAAAACCCUUAUCCUGCAAUAACAGGACUAACCAGAAGAUUCCUUUUUCCUGUCAAGGCGAAGAUGUGCUCUGACUUGUCCUGGUUCACAUCCAUCACAAGUAUCACUGCCAGGAUGUAUGUGAAAAGAAAGCACAGUUUCACCAAUCUUCACUUCAUCUCCAUGCUCCAAGAUGUAGGGAUCACAUUUUGUUUUAGGCUACAGCAAAAGAAAGUUUUGAAAGCCAUGUUAAUUAGUUACUAAUGAAGGGCACUAAUUCUAUUUCAUAAGCUCUACUCAUAAUUUAGUAAUUCAACUUGGUCUAAAAAAUACAGGUAAGUAUUCAACUGCAGUGGGUAUUUCACACUAGCAACUGCAACUGUUGCAACCUAAUAUAAAGAAAACAUAAAAAUAUUGUAAGUAGCCUUAAAACCAGAAGAGAAACAACGAAAAGACAAAUGUAUGAAAGAAGCCGUACAAUGAUGUUGUUAGUGAUUUGCAACAAUAUAUUUAAGAAGCCCACAUGACUAAAGUUUUCUUCAAUGUAGCAUUAUAAACAAGUACUCACCUGAAGAAUCUGAUUUCCAUUAACAACUGUUCCAUUCUGACUGCCUUGAUCCACAAGAACAUAAUUUUGCAAAUCAUGGUCAAAAUAUACUUCUGCAUGGAACUGAUAAAUAGAAGCCUCAGUGAAAUGUUCUUAUUAAGGAAGUAUUAACAAUGUAUAUGCUAUUUUAAAGUAAGAUUUCAGAAUACAUUUUAAAUGAGUGGCUCUGGUACUUUUAAGUUAACAGAGUAUUUCACACCUUAUGAUUUCAUCCAUGUGAACUGCAGAUGAAUGGGCCACACCACCAUGAGCUAAAGCAUACUAUUAAUAAUAUAACUAUUUUGACCAUAAACUGAAUCAAUACCGAAAAAGUAUAUACCUCCGAUGUGGCAAGUAUACUUUACUUAGAGGACUACAAGAUUCACUUAUAGACCAUUUUUUACUGUUCUUUUAAAUAAAAUGCUUUUGUCUUAUAAGGUAUGUUACAGGAGUCUGACUUUUUUCUCUUUCAAUUAAAAAAACCCUCAUUGUACAGCUUUGGAUUACUUCAUCUUUCAUAACUGAAAUAUCUCCCUAAAUCACAUGCUUUUAUAAAUUCCAUGUAAUUCACCUUCGCCUGCAUCUUAAUGCCCAGGACACAAUGACUAACCAUCAUUUGCUGUUUCUUUUAUAUCCUUUCUGAUAUUGAGACUAACAACCUAAUAUUUUUGUUUGUUUUGUUGUUGCAAUUCUAUCUAGACACUGAACAGAGAAAACACAACUCCAAACUCAAAGAUAUACACUACCUCCAAAAAUGGCCACUGAGUAAACUAAAACAUCAACUUCUGCAGCCUUCUAAGGGUGUCAGUAAAAAGCAGGAGUCUAAAAAACCUGACUGCUUCAAAUUUGACAAGCAAAGAUCCCUUUUGUUACAGUCAAGAAACGCCCCCCCGAAUCAAUCUGUGAAGAAAAUGUUCAUUUAAAACCAAAUAUCUUCUUAUCUUUGAGCAAUAAUUGAGUUGCUACAUUCAGUAAUUAAAAAAAAAAAAAAAAGAAAGAAAAAAAUCAAGGUAGCAUUUUGUAGAUUGGCUAGCACGUACAACAGGAAUACUCCCGUAACAGCGGAGACUGACUAGCUCACUCAAUAAUUAAUUCCUACCUCUGUUUUAUUGAAUAGGAUGAACCCAAACUUCUUCAAAAGAUGCUAUACCUACAGGAUGCAGUGGUUUUUUUUUUAAAUCUCACUUUACACUCAAGAAAAUGCCGAAGUGGUACACAGCUGUUAACUAUGAAUAGCAAGCAGACAGAAAGAAGAGUUACCUUACUGACUCCAACUUCAGGAAUCUCAAGCGUGUGUCCAACAUCUUUUUCCCUGAAAAGGCAAGUUGAUAUAUAAAUCACAACAAAUUAGAAAUACGUCUAAUAAGUGGCUUACAAAAAGUGCAUUUCACUAGAACUUUAAUACUAAGUUUUCCUUCUGAGCUCCUACGGAGUUUUACAGACAUAAACCACUGCGUUGCUAUAUAGACCAUGUGAGGACUUGCUUCAGGUUCCUUCUUCCAUCUGUAAACUAUACACAGUAGACAAUAAAUAGAUGAUAAAGCUGUUACCGUUAAAUUUUAUCUAUAAAUUUGACAUUUCUAUCUGAACUUUUAUACUCAUAUAAUGCCUG